UCCCUGGUGGCUCAGUGGUAAAGAAUCUGCCUGCCAAGCAGUAGACACGGGUUCAAUCUCUGGUUCAGGAAG
rnacentral:tRNA from 1 species